CCGAACCUGCGGUGUUCGUGUUGCCUUCGUCGUCUUGAGCCAAUACAGAAAGCGUCGGGAGUCGCUCGCCCGCCUCCAUAGAGGUUGGCGAAGGGAUUCCCACUUGCGAGAGCAGGUUCAAGGUUCCGAUGCACACGGCACAGGCGGGGGAGGC
rnacentral:other from 1 species